CAUGACUCCAUUAUUUAUGCUGCUGGAGGAGGACGUUGUCACUUUUGUGAAAAAUGAGCUAAAGAAGAUCCAGAAGGUUCUGAGUCCAGAUUACCCAGAAU